ACAGAGAACACAGCAAUAGAUGAACUCUCCACUGAAAAUACACAAUUUCAGAUUUAGUCAUUAUGUUUUUUCAAACUCUUAAACUCCAUUCAUUCACUGUUAUUAGCAUAGAAGAGCCAGGACAUUGUUUAAUUAUAACUCAGACUGAAGAAAAGGAAGUCAUAUACACCUAGGAUGGACUGACGCAGCAGCUGGCAGGAUGAGGGGGCGCAACUCACACCAACAGUAGGAAGUGAUGAGGGCUGCUGACAGGAAGCCUGGAGUUCAGGCCCGCGCUAAGCUAACACCAGUCCACUGGCGAUGCAAGUCACAUGCCCUGUGGAGACUGCGGUUGUCAGAAAGUGGUCUGGAGGCCCAGCUGUCGGGGUGUGAUGAGGUAACAGCGGGGGAAGUGCAGGGCAACAUGUGGCAUGUGGCAACAGCCCUCGACUGUUGGUGACGAACAACAACUCAUCCUGUCACAAGAUUCACCACAACUUUGAGAGAUCCAUUGAAACUGAAUUCUGUUUCAGAACAUGGGAUCAUCUCGGGUAGUCAGGGGCAAAAUUGGUAUUUUUUGGAUGUUAAAGAAAUAUUCUGGGUUCGGUUCACUUGAUCAGCAACACUUGUGGCAUGAACACACACACACAAAAAUUCCUCCUUUUUAGAAAAAACAACGACGACAGAAAGCUCGGUUACAGUGAGGCUCUUAUAAUAGGACUGAAUGGGUUUAAUCCAUAAACACUAAAAUAUUCAGUGUUUCAAUAGUAUAGCCACAAGGCAUAAAUAAUGUGUUUAAAAAGCAAUGAAGUCAAGUGUAUUAUGGUUUAAAGUUUUAAAAAACAAACACAAAAAACUUUUGAUGAUUAACUAAAGAAUUAUUGCAAUUAUUUAUUAUUAUUAUUACUAUUAUUAUAAGAGGGAUUGGUAAAAUUAGCUGAAACAAAGUACUUCCAGUCUUGAUGCAAGAUUUUGAUUUAUAUUUAGUAUCCAUUGAUUGUGUGCAAUAAAAUGAGGAAUGCUUAUCAAGAAAGCAAAUAUGGUCAAUCUUGAUUUCAUGUUGAUUUUAAUCACCAAUAACUUGUCUAUAAGUAAAGGGCUACAAAAAUUCUCCACUCACCAAUAAUAUUCCAAGCAUCUAGUACGAAAUAAACAAAAACCAGAAACUGACAUAGUCUUUGCUCCAGCCAGGUACAUCCAGUGUUUCAGACCACAUAAAUAGGAUGGCUGCCCUGCAUCUGCAGCAGGUCUCAAAAAUGAGCUCAUCUCAUCUGUAAGUCUAACUCAACCCGGUCUACGUAUCUGUCUCCUGCCCCGUCUUGACCUACCCUGCUGUGCCCAGCUGGCCUGAGCUUUUGCAGAUCUCAUUACAGAGAGAUGCUGCAGACCAGGACCGUGGCUGUGAAUUUUUUCUCCUCGCCAAUACAGCCAACGCACAGUCCCGCACGCCGCCUCCAAAAGUCCCAGAGGUCAGCACCCCAUCUGCUACAGAGACAAGGCUGCGUCCUGACGGACGUGUCAUCAGGUGUUCAGCGGCGCUCCGAAUGGGACUAAUGCUGGAGAUCUCAGUCUAUGCACAACAGCAAAUAAGGAGCCUCACCUGGUGAUUUACACAAGGGCUGAUUAGGGCCCUCAUGGGAGCCAAGUCUGGUCAGCCACACUCAGCUGGACGUCUGACUCACACACACUUCCUGGAAGAGGCCAGCACCGAAAAGGAGGAGGAUGCAGUGGGACGAAGACGCUAGCGAUGAUCAUGCUAACUUUAUCAUCCGCUCCCAGGCUGGUGGCAGAUGGUGCCAAGUUGCAUUUGCGACAUACACCAGCAUUUCCCACGAGCUCGAGACCACGUGAAAGGGAAGCUUUGUCACAGCCCUCCAAAUGUCAACAAGAACAGCAAGAAGUUAGAGGCAUGGCAUGCAGGAGGGGUGGGGGUGACUUCUUCUGUUUAACAUUUACUCAUGAUAAUGAUUGACUUUUGUAAAGGAAAUGCUUCACUAGCAUAAACCCUCAGUGUUUUCUGCUUGAAAGGCUCUUUGGACUAGCGGAUGGGGUUCCACAUAUGGAGAAAGUGAGAAAGCGUGAGAACGAGAGCGAACGAGGCAGGAAGAAGAACUGCUGAGGAAUGUGCCGCUCUUUGGUCUGAGCGGCAAGUAGCCUGCAGAUUUUAAAAGAACUAUUAUAAGUGUUACCAUGGCAGCAGUGCACGGCCAACAAAGGAUAAAAGGUCGCUGAAGACAACAAGAAAACACAAAGGAAAAUGGCUAAAAUCCAGUUCCAGAAAGAAUACUUGUGCUUAUAAAAUAAAAUAAACUACAAAGUAGCUAGGAAAAACUAAAUGUAAGCGUAAGGGUUAAGUAGCUUUACAUAAAACAGCACUUAAAAUGAUCCAAAGGAAUGUUGUAAUAUCUGCUAAAGGUUACAUUUUAUAUUAAAUUAUGAUUAUUUUAA